GGUCUGGUGGUGUAACAGCAACACACCUGUUUUACAUGUAGGAAUAUUGAGUGAGUUUAGCGGGGGUUCCUUGUUCGACUCAAGGUCAGGCUA